UUCAGUUUUAUAUGCAUACUAGAUUCUGACCCGCCCUUUGAAAGGGCGGGUAUAUUUCUUAAUGAGAUGUUUUUUUGGUUUUUUAUUUGAUUAGUUUGAAUGGUAUGGAUCCGAUAAAAGAGAAGCCGAACCCUGACAUUCAAACCCAGAUCUUGGUGUACUCGUUCGAUUUGGAAAAGAGACGAAGAUGCUGAGAGUUAUGACAGAAGAACUUUAACAAAUCCAUAAGUGGUUAUAGCCUUAUAGGUCAGGAGAAACACCUAAGAGAUAAGGAACAUAACGGAACAGCUGAGAAGUGAUCAAACGAAGAAUACAUGGGAAUUACCAGAUGUUGUCAUCAAGGCAUGAACUACAACCAAUCUGAAAAAGAUAAGUGUUGUCCUGAAUAUAGUCUAUACUGUUUUAUACCCAUUCAUGGUUUAAUUGAAAACAAAUUUAAAGAAUAUAUAAUAAUCAUACUAUUUUAAAAGCAGAAUUCAAUGUUUUUUAAACAGUUAAUAUACGCAAGGAGAAACAACAAAGGAGAUAUGGAAAAAACCGUUCUGAAAUGAAGCAUGCCUAUGAAACAGUUUAUUACAUAAAUCAGAUUGAAGAAAUUCAAAGCUCCCCAACAUCUAUGGCUUGUCCAACGAUGUCUACAUUUAACAAAAACAUGGAACUUUGCAGAUUCUAAUAAACGUUGAAAGAUCAGUGUGCAUGGAAUAUCAUCAUCAAUUUACUGCAGAAUUGAUACAUAUACUAUUUAAUAAACGAAAACCAGUGUUUUCUAGCAACUGAAGUUUGUUCUAAAGCAUAUGUAACUAUCAUCUGUAAAUUUUUUAUAUGAAUGUGUCAUUCAGAAAAAAGAAAA